GGCCUAACACAUGCAAGUCGAACGCGAAAGGGGCUUCGGCCCUGAGUAGAGUGGCGAACGGGUGAGUAACACGUGGGUGAUCUACCUCUGAGUGGGGGAUAACGUUCCGAAAGGAGCGCUAAGACCGCAUGACGUUCCGGGUUUGAAGACCGGGAAACCAAAGUCGGGGACCGCAAGGCCUGACGCUUGGAGAGGAGCCCGCGCCUGAUUAGCUAGUUGGUGGGGUAAUGGCUCACCAAGGCGACGAUCAGUAGCCGGCCUGAGAGGGCGGACGGCCACACUGGGACUGAGACACGGCCCAGACUCCUACGGGAGGCAGCAGUGGGGAAUUGUUCGCAAUGGGCGCAAGCCUGACGACGCAACGCCGCGUGGAGGAUGAAGGUCUUCGGAUUGUAAACUCCUGUUGACCGGGACGAAUGGGCUUCGACCUAACACGUCGGGGCAGUGACGGUACCGGUUGAGGAAGCCACGGCUAACUCUGUGCCAGCAGCCGCGGUAAUACAGAGGUGGCAAGCGUUGUUCGGAAUUACUGGGCGUAAAGGGCGCGUAGGCGGCCUUCUAAGUCGGACGUGAAAUCCCCAGGCUUAACUUGGGAACUGCGUCCGAUACUGGAGGGCUUGAGUGCGGGAGAGGGAUGUGGAAUUCCAGGUGUAGCGGUGAAAUGCGUAGAUAUCUGGAGGAACACCGGUGGCGAAGGCGGCAUCCUGNACCGACACUGACGCUGAGGC
rnacentral:rRNA from 1 species